UACGGAGGGUGCAAGCGUUAUCCGGAUUCACUGGGUUUAAAGGGUGCGUAGGAGGGUAGGUAAGUCAGUGGUGAAAUCCCCGAGCUUAACUUGGGAACUGCCGUUGAUACUAUCUAUCUUGAAUAUCGUGGAGGUGAGCGGAAUAUGUCAUGUAGCGGUGAAAUGCUUAGAUAUGACAUAGAACACCAAAUUGCGAAGGCAGCUUGCUACACGAAAUAUUGACUCUGAGGCACGAAAGCGUGGGGAUCAAACAGG
rnacentral:rRNA from 1 species